rnacentral:lncRNA from 1 species
CAGGGCCCGGGGAGGAGCCAGGACCCCGGGCGGGAGAAAAGAGACUGAGGGGCGUGCGGCACAAAGAGCUUUUUAUUUAAAUUUGUUUAGAGUUUGGCGAAUUUGCAUGAAAAAUGUGUGAGAAAAGCCAGCUCCGGUGACCUCAUCCGCACCUGCCAUUAACGUUCAAUUAGCGGUUGAAUAGAGGCGCCGACGCGACGUGCAGAGAAUCCGGCGGGCCCCGCGGAGCCACGGCUGCGGGCCGGGCCCAGGGUGGGGUGGGAGUGGGGGGGCGGGGGCCGACUCCUGCGAGCCGGAGACGCUCGCCUCGUCCGCACCCCAACUCUCUGAGGGGACGUAGGAACCACAGAGCCCUCGAGUCCAAGGCGGCAUGGGGCGCAGCAGGGCCCGGGGCACCUGGGGAUGCCAGGCUCCCUCCUGGCGCCGAGGAGGGCAGGCUUGCCCCCUCCCCAGGAUAGGAGGUGGAUGGAUGAGCCCCCGUCCUAGCUCAGAUGGGUUCCCUCGCCACCUUCCGGACAAAGUGUCAAGUACAAGUUCAAGUUCAGGGCCAGGCCCGGGGGGGGGGGGGGGGGGGGGGGGGCGCCAAGCCUUCUCCCGCCGCCUUUGUUCUUGGAGAGAAUCACUCCUAAGUCUCCUCCGGGCGGGGCCCGGCCAACGCCCCCGCCCCGCCCCGUGGUGCCCAACUGGGGCCGCCUCCUCCCGCCCUCGCGGCGCCUGUCCCCUGGUCCCGGCGCCCCCGCUCAGGGCCACCGAAGGGUCUGGGUACUCGGGGAGGGGGGAGGCGCGAUCCGGGUCCGUGGGAGCCUCCCCAGCCCCGCAGUCCCAGCAGCAAACCGAGCGUUGUCGGACGGAUGCUCGCGCGGAGGGCCCCAACCCAGCCAGGUCUGAUGGUUACGGUGUGGACAUGCUGGAUUACAGCAGCGGUCCAUUUCCAGAGCGUCUCUGAGGAAGAACAAGACAGAGAAUUCCUGGUUCAGUCCCUGGAGAAAGUCAACAGGGCAGCGAGUUUCUCUCCCUGGUGCUGCUCUGGAAGGAGGACUCAGUGGUAGAGGUUUAAGGGUGGAGGAGAGGGUGAUGGUGAUGAGGGCAGAUCCGGAGGUGAGGAAAGAGGAUUUUAUUACAAAUGGAACUGGAAGCCAUUCCUGGAAUGUAGACAUUUUGCCCCUGCCACCCAAUCUGCUUCCUAGACUGAGUCGGGGAAUGGUGUGGAUAGAAAUGGCAGUGGGGGACCAGCAAGCCUGUCUUCAGAGCAGAAGGAAGGAAACAAGGAAGGAAUGAGGGAGGGAGGAAGGAAGGAGGUUCAAGGCCUUCAAUUCUGAGCACUUAAAAACGUGUGUAUUUUUUUCUUAUUUCCAUAGUAAUAUAUACCUAUUGAGAAAAACUAGAAAUUUCAGAAAAGCACACGCACAAAAUAUGCCCUGCAGUCCUGCCCCCAGACUUAACGACUAUUAAUGUUUUGGGUGCGAUAAGAAGCUAUACUGAGGCUACAGGGAGCUGAACUGUAGGAAGGGAGAGAGGAAUGUCUAUUUUUUUGUUUAUACCUUUUUCUACUGUUUGAAUUUUUCUCAGGAGAAUGUCAAAUAAAACCGAGUUAAAAUAGCA